UACGGAGGGGGCUAGCGUUGUUCGGAUUUACUGGGCGUAAAGCGCAUGUAGGCGGGUCGUUAAGUCGGGGGUGAAAGCCCAGAGCUCAACUCUGGAAGUGCCCUCGAUACUGGGGACCUGGAGCAGGUCAGAGGCGAGUGGAAUUGCGAGUGUAGAGGUGAAAUUCGUAGAUAUUCGCAGGAACACCAGUGGCGAAGGCGGCUCGCUGGGACUUUGCUGACGCUGAGAUGCGAAAGCGUGGGGAGCAAACAGG
rnacentral:rRNA from 1 species